rnacentral:rRNA from 1 species
AACACAUGCAGUCGAACGCUGAAGCACCUUCGGGUGUGGAUGAGUGGCGAACGGGUGAGUAACACGUGGGUAACCUGCCCUGUACUUUGGGAUAAGCCCUGGAAACGGGGUCUAAUACCGGAUAUGACUCGCUAAGGCAUCUUGGUGGGUGGAAACUUUCGGCGGUACAGGAUGGGCCCGCGGCCUAUCAGCUUGUUGGUGGGGUAGUGGCCUACCAAGGCGACGACGGGUAGCCGGCCUGAGAGGGUGACCGGCCACACUGGGACUGAGACACGGCCCAGACUCCUACGGGAGGCAGCAGUGGGGAAUAUUGCACAAUGGGCGGAAGCCUGAUGCAGCGACGCCGCGUGAGGGAUGACGGCCUUCGGGUUGUAAACCUCUUUCGCCAGGGACGAAGCGCAAGUGACGGUACCUGGAGAAGAAGCACCGGCUAACUACGUGCCAGCAG